rnacentral:rRNA from 1 species
UUUCGAAUCAUUCACAAUGGGCGCAAGCCUGAUGGUGCGACGCCGCGUGAGGGAUGAAGGUCUUCGGAUUGUAAACCUCUGUCACCGGGGAAGAAACGUCUUGAGCUAACAGCUCUAGGCCUGACUUAACCCGGAGAGGAAGCAGUGGCUAACUCUGUGCCAACAGCCGCGGUAAUACAGAGACUGCAAGCGUUAUUCGGAUUCACUGGGCGUAAAGGGUGCGCAGGUGGCUGUGUGUGUGAAGUGUGAAAGCCCGGGGCUUAACUCCGGAAUUGCACCUCAAACUACAUGGCUAGAGCAUUGGAGAGGGUAGCAGAAUUCACGGUGUAGCAGUGAAAUGCGUAGAUAUCGUGAGGAAUACCAGAGGCGAAGGCGGCUACCUGGACAAUUGCCGACACUCAAGCACGAAAGCGUGGGGAGCAAAAG